GGCGAACGGGUGAGGAACACAUAAGAAUCUGCCCCUCGGUCGGGGACAACUCUUGGAAACGAGAGCUAAUACCCGAUACGCUGUGGAGUGAAAGAAUUUCGCCGAGGGAUGAUCUUGCGUCUGAUUAGCUAGUUGGUAUGGUAAUGGCAUACCAAGGCGACGAUCAGUAGCUGGUCUGAGAGGAUGAACAGCCACAUUGGAACUGAGACACGGUCCAAACUCCUACGGGAGGCAGCAGUGGGGAAUUUUCCGCAAUGGACGAAAGUCUGACGGAGCGACGCUGCGUGAAGGAUGACGGCCUGCGGGUUGUAAACUUCUUUUCUCGAAGAAGAAGCUCCGACGGUAUUCGAGGAAUAAGCAUCGGCUAACUCCGUGCCAGCAGCCGCGGUAAUACGGAGGAUGCAAGUGUUAUUCGGAAUGAUUGGGCGUAAAGCGUCUGUAGGCUGUAUAGAAAGUCUUUUGUUAAAUGCCUCGGCUCAACCGAGAUCCAGCAAAGGAAACUUCUAUACUUGAGGGAAGUAGAGGUACAGGGAAUUCCCGGUGGAGCGGUGAAAUGCGUAGAUAUCGGGAGGAACACCAAUAUGGCGAAGGCACUGUACUGGGCUUUACCUGACGCUCAGAGACGAAAGCUAAAGGAGUGAUUAGGAUUAGAUACCCUAGUAAUUUUAGCCGUAAACGAUGGAAACUCACUGCCGAGCGAAAUACAACGAGCGGUGGUCAAGCUAACGCGUGAAGUUUCC
rnacentral:rRNA from 1 species